rnacentral:rRNA from 1 species
GAUGAACGCUGGCGGCGUGCCUAAUACAUGCAAGUCGAGCGAACAGACGAGGAGCUUGCUCCUUUGACGUUAGCGGCGGACGGGUGAGUAACACGUGGAUAACCUACCUAUAAGACUGGGAUAACUUCGGGAAACCGGAGCUAAUACCGGAUAACAUGUUGAACCGCAUGGUUCAACAGUGAAAGACGGUCUUGCUGUCACUUAUAGAUGGAUCCGCGCCGCAUUAGCUAGUUGGUAAGGUAACGGCUUACCAAGGCAACGAGGCGUAGCCGACCUGAGAGGGUGAUCGGCCACACUGGAACUGAGACACGGUCCAGACUCCUACGGGAGGCAGCAGUAGGGAAUCUUCCGAAAUGGGCGAAAGCCUGACGGAGCAACGCCGCGGGAGUGAAGAAGGUCUUCGGAUCGUAAAACUCUGUUAUUAGGGAAGAACAAAUGUGUAAGUAACUAUGCACGUCUUGACGGUACCUAAUCAGAAAGCCACGGCUAACUACGUG